CACAGAUUCAGGUUCAGCAUCAAACACCAGUGGCCGGAGGAAAUGGUGUGGCGGUUGCUGCUGCUGCAGCCGGUGCUGCCGCUGCUGUAGCGGCACCAGGUGGAGGAGCCACGAGUCAGUUUACGUCCACGUCGUUGUAUGUUGGAGACUUGGACUUUAACAUCACUGAUUCACAGCUCUAUGAUCUGUUCAACCAUGUCGGUCAGGUUGUUUCUGUUAGGGUUUGUAGGGAUCUUAGUACUCGGAGAUCUCUUGGAUAUGGAUAUGUUAACUACAGUAACCCUUCCGAUGCUGCAAGGGCAAUGGAGUUGUUGAACUUCACUCCUGUGAAUGGGAAGUCCAUUAGGGUGAUGUAUUCUCAUAGGGAUCCCACUCUUCGUAAGAGUGGAUCAGCAAAUAUAUUUAUUAAGAAUUUGGACAAGUCGAUUGACAACAAAGCAUUACAUGACACCUUUUCAAGCUUUGGCAACAUUCUUUCUUGCAAGAUAGCUACUGAUUCUAAUGGUCAGUCAAAGGGUUAUGGUUUUGUACAAUUUGACAACGAAGAAUCUGCUCAAGGUGCCAUAGAUAAGUUAAAUGGUAUGUUGAUGAAUGAUAAGCAAGUGUAUGUUGGACACUUUCUUCGCAAACAGGAAAGAGAAUCUACAACUGGCAUGACAAAAUUCAACAAUGUCUAUGUGAAAAAUUUGGCUGAAUCUGCUACCGAUGAUGAGUUGAAGAAUGUUUUUGGUGAGUUUGGGACUAUUACUAGUGCAGUAGUGAUGAGGGAUGCAGAUGGAAAAUCCAAGGGCUUUGGGUUUGUCAAUUUUGAGAAUGCAGAUGAUGCUGCUAAGGCUGUUGAAGCAUUAAAUGGAAAGAAAUUUGACGAAAAAGAAUGGUAUGUUGGGAAAGCACAGAAAAAAUCUGAAAGAGAAAU
rnacentral:misc_RNA from 1 species